rnacentral:rRNA from 1 species
GAUCGAACGGCGUAGCUACAGGCUUAACACAUGCAAGUCGAGGGGCGAGCGGGAUUGAAGCUUGCUUCAAUUGCCGGCGACCGGCGCACGGGUGAGUAACGCGUAUCCAACCUUCCGCUUACUCGGGGAUAGCCUUUCGAAAGAAAGAUUAAUACCCGAUGGUAUCUUAAGCACGCAUGAGAUUAAGAUUAAAGAUUUAUCGGUAAGCGAUGGGGAUGCGUUCCAUUAGGCAGUUGGCGGGGUAACGGCCCACCAAACCUACGAUGGAUAGGGGUUCUGAGAGGAAGGUCCCCCACAUUGGAACUGAGACACGGUCCAA